rnacentral:rRNA from 1 species
ACGGAGGGUGCAAGCGUUAUCCGGAUUCACUGGGUUUAAAGGGUGCGUAGGUGGCUAUUUAAGUCAGUGGUGAAAGCCCGCGGCUCAACCGUGGAAUUGCCAUUGAAACUGAGUAGCUUGAGUACAGUUGAAGUGGGCGGAAUACAUCAUGUAGCGGUGAAAUGCUUAGAUAUGAUGUAGAACACCGAUUGCGAAGGCAGCUCACUAAGCUGUAACUGACACUGAGGCACGAAAGCGUGGGUAGCGAACAGGA